GCACUCUCCUCUUGUGUGCCGUGCAAGAUGGAAGCUCAAGUUGAGGCUCAUGACGCCCACCCAAACUCCUCCCUGAAAAUUUCUGCUCUGUUGUCAAAUCAGUUUGGCGAAGGUGGGUCAGCACCGGCAUCAGGAGAUGCUGCUUGUGACGUUGACGACUCUGGGGCGCCCAGCUCCAAGCAACACGUGGAAAAAUCAUUUAGGUUCCCUGACAAUGAACUAUUAGGCACCAAAAGGAAAUCAAUGCAAGAGCGUAUGAACUACAAAAAUUUGUGCCGAAGUGAACACCAAUGCCAAUUCUGUUUUAAUUUGUGUGCCACUGAAGCUGAUCUCAAACAACAUAUUAUCUCACAGCAUCCUAAAAGGAAUACACAGAAAUACUGUGGAAGUAAAUAUGCUAAUGAUUGCAAAAAAGUCUUGCACAAGCAUUGCCUCUCUAAGCGUUCAUCAGUGAAGAAGUUUUGUUGCUCUGAGUGUGAGCAUACUUGCAC